AUUACACUUUCCUAGCCCCCCUUGCAGCUAGUCACAUGACUUAGUCAUGUGACUAAGUCCAAGCCAAUAGGAUGUUAGUGGAAGUGACGUGUGGAAACUUCCAAAUUAUUGCUGUAAAGACAAAGCUGCUAGCUCUGACUUCCUCUUCCCCCUUCCCACAGGCUCAAAUGCAGAUAUGAACAAGGAAUCCUGGAUUCUUGAAUGAUCCUGUGGAGCAGAGCAGACCUCAUAAAGAGUUGGCUUGACUCAACACUGAGUAAGCUCUCCAAGAGUCACGCUGCAUUCUACCUCUCCGUGACAAAUGUCAUAGGAAACUGAUCCUCCACAGGGAAAUCAGCAGUGGGGCUUCAGUCCUUCCUGGGGCUGCAUGGCCGAGUUGGCCUGAUUCAAACAGUAGGAGGUGCACUAGCCCACAGGUUCAGACCUUGUGUAGAAGAGAGAAUUAACAUUACUGAGCCCUCUCAGUCCAACCCAGAGGGCGUCAGUGUGGCUGAGCAGAACAAAUGUACACUCUAAACAACAGAAACAACAGCUAGAGGACUGGAAAGGGAAAGGCAAUUAAGAAAUGGCUCAAAUAGUAUUCAAGGCAUUCCAACCCCGCCUUGGAACUCCCAGAGAGAUGCAAAAAAGAAGGUGAUGUGGAUAUGCCAUAUGGCAAGUGAGGAAUAACAAUAGAACAGAUUUAAAGGCAAACUCUUAAAGUGACUUCACCCCACCUUCAUCAGCUGAGGGAAGAUUCAGUCUGCAGUAAUCAACUAAUUCUUGAAGACUUCCUGACAGGUAAAUUAUACUAUCCCAGGUGUUUUAUAGGACUUUGGGGAGAGGUAGUCUAACACUCAAUAAGUUUAUUGUCUAAUACAAUUUAAUGAAAUGUCAACUUUCCUUCCACCAUGGAAACCACAUUUUUCCUCGGAGGUUUCCACCCAAAUUCUUUCCGGUUUUACCCUUCCUUGCUUUAUUGGUUCUGUAGCCUAGUGGAAAAGGUGUGGUAUUUUAUUUGUUUAAAGGAAUAAACCAGUGAGAUCCAGCUGAACCAUAAAUGACAUUGAAGGACUGAAGGUUCUCAAGGAUGCAGAGUUUUGAAGAUGUUCAGAAAUCAACAUAAAGAAAUAGAGAGGAGGAGGAGGCAGAACAAGGUGACUGAAUAGAAGGCUCCGGCGAUUGUCCCUCCCAGAGAAACACCAAACAGAACAACUAUCCACAGAAAAAAGCAUGUUCAUAAGAACCAAAAAUCAGGUGAGUGAUCACAGUCCCCAGUUUUACCAUCACAUUAAGAAAAGGGGCAUUGAAGAGGUUAGGAAAGACAGUCUUGGACCAACUACACCAUCCUUCUCCAUCCCCUAGCAGUGGCCACAUGGCAUGAAGAGGGAGUAGGGGAGGGAGAGAGUGUUGAGGGAGGGAGAGCACAGUGAUUGUGGGACUUUGCAUUGGAAUUCAGUGCUGCCUUGUCACCGCAGAAAGCAACACAAAGCAGAACUUAGCCAGCACCCAGAGAGGGAGCGUGUAGACCAGAC